ACAAGAGGACUGUAGAGAAUGAUGCCAUCAUGCAGGAGAUAAUGACAAUGCUCAGCUUCGAUGGAAGUGAUCAAGGAUGGGCUGUGAUCAGCAGGGGACCUGCUGAUAUGGCCAAGGCAAAGGGAGAAACCAUAUUGAAAUCUUUUGUUGACUUUGAGAUAUGGAAGGAGGGUGCACAGGAAAAGGGUUUUUUGCCUGCACUGAUUGAUUACCUCCAUGAACUCCAUACCCCAUUCCACUGCAACCGUCUGAUACUGCCAGGGGCUACAGGGAGCAUCCCAGAGAGGGUUGUUUGUGCUGAAUGCGGCCGUCCCAUGGAGAAGUUCAUCAUGUAUCGUUGCUGUACCGAUUGAGCUUUAUUACCAGUAAUACGGUAUGCUAUUUACGUUUUAAAUCACUAUCUAUUUCAAUAAAAACCAAGGCAGACACGGCCACUAUCGCUGCCGCUACAUCAGCUCUGGAGUGGAAUAUGUCGAGGCUUUUCUACUACUACAUGUUAUUUGUAUUGUAAUAUUAUGCUUAUAAUUAAUGAAAGGUGUUGUUUGCGGUACCAUUUCUAGUUUCUACAUGUCCAUUUGCUUAGCAAUGUUCUUACCACUCAUCGGAAAAUCUCCUAGAAAUCAGAGAAUAUCUUAGGCCUCGAUGACAACGAUUUGAGUUAGAACAUAACGCCAUAAACUUUAGGGAUUAGAAUCAAUACUCAAAAGUCAAACCCUUAAUAACAUCCAGUAACUGAUUCAGAUUUCUUGUUGCGUGGGGCAUUUUUAAUCUCGUAUUCCCCAUGAAAGUUCAUGAAGACUUCAAUUAAUCUUUCGAUCUUUGAACUCUCUGUCUCGGCUCCUUAUUCGAAUACAUUGUUUAUUUCGCAGAAGGAAGAUUUGUUUACAGGCGGGCAUCGAUCAAUUUCAUCACCAUAAAAUUUAAAAAAAAAACAGUAGAAAACAAGAGACCAGAUCGAAAAAGAAAGGCAGGGAUGUACCAGGAGACAGGUAACACGGUGCUGGAAACAAAGCACCGUGCUGUUUAAUACUGGUAAUUACAUCAAUUAAUUUAUGCUUCGGAAACAUGAAUUUCUCCCACUAAUUACAAGGGAGAGUUCACCAGUAGGAAGCAACAGCAACAUAAACACCAAAUUAUCAUUAAAGAUGGAAAUUAAUUAAAAAUGUUGCAAACCCAGCCAUGAAACACGCAUUUCCAAAGAAACGUAGCAUGUAUUACAUACAUACAUACAUACAUACAUACAUACAUACAUACAUACAUACAUACAUAUAUAUAUAUGAAAGGGUUUGGGAUUGCAAUAACACGUCCUUACGGAACUGUAAAAGCCAUUGAAGAACGCAACGCCUAUCGAAAGCGAUUAACAGCAAAAUCAAAAACAAGAAACACAAACAAAUUGAGACUUAAAACAAGUUGAUCUACACGUAGAAGAGAGGAGGGAAGAGGAGAGGAGAGCGGCGUUAGGGAUUCUUAAGCUUCUUCUAGUGCUCGUGCUAGGGGUUUUAUUUAUAUAGCGUGGAUGUGAUUUCCUUUUCGUGACAUGACAAGAAUGCCCCUCAAGCCAAGGCCCAGAAUGAUAAUUAAUGGAAGCCAACACGGAUGGGCUUCACUCGAACCGGUACUCCCGAGGCACGUGGGUUCGAGUUGGGUUGGGUUGGAUUGUGUAGGUUAAGACCUUCCUGUAUUUUGAAUUCACAAAAAAAAACUAAGAGAUAGAAGGAUUUUAUUUUAGUCCCUUGAAUACUGGUUUUUUUCUUUCUUUGGAUUUUAUUUUUGUUUUUACAAUUUUUAUUUUUUAAAAAAAAUUAAUUUUAUUCUUCAAUAUUAAAUUUAUUUGGAAUUGAACUUUAUAAUUUUUAUAAUUUAUUUUUUAUGAGAUUAUCUUCGUCUCAUUACUUAAAUUGCAAGUUUAACGGGUUGUCUCAAGUUUUUUUUUUUUAAUUAAUAUUUUUUAUUAAUUUCACAAACAAAAAACACCAAGAGAAUGAGGUUUUACUGUAUGUCUCCUUGCAAAUAUUAUUCACUAUAAUAAUGUUUUUUUUCUUCCUUUGGAUUUCAAAAAAAAACCCUAUGAUUUUCGUUCUAUCCACAACAUUGCAUCUGAUACGAUUUUCUUUGAGUUCAUUUACAGCUAGGUGUAUCUGAAAUGAAGGGCAAGGUAGUUUUACUUUUGGUAUCAAAGGCAGAGCUCCUUCCACAAGAGGGAUUGCUUCUGCUGCUUGAUAGAACAUAUGAUCAUCCUUACCACAAGAAGUUAGAGGGAAGUUAUGAAAUUGUUUGGAUCUCAAUUUCUGAUACAUGGACUGAUGCUGAAAGGGACAUAUUUGAUUUUUUGUCAAACUCUUUGCCAUGGUACUCAGUUCGGCGACCGUGGGUGCUCCACUCAGCUGUUGUGAACUACACAAAACAAGAAUGGGACUACAAAAAUGUCCCUCUUAUUGUAGUGUUGGAUUCAAAAGGUAUGGUCAGAAAAUCAAAUGCAAUGGAUAUGGUGUUCAUCUGGGGUGCCACAGCAUACCCCUUCUCAACUUCGAAAGAAAAGAAACUUUGGGACGAAGAGAAUUGGACCCUGAAACUUUUGCUUGAUGAAAUUGACCCUCUAUUAACCACCUGGGUAUGAUACUAGCAUGUUCAAUAUGGUUGCAUACUUAAGGAAUUACUUUUAUCGCUUUUGCACUCAUUACAUUGCAUUGAUCUCAGGUAGAAGAAGGCAGAAAUAUUUGCAUUUAUGGAAAUGACAACCUAGACUGGAUUAGGGAAUUCAAUGCCACGUGUAAGGUGAUCAAAAAUGCUGGUGUGCAGCUUGAAAUGGUGUAUGUUGGCUGUAAAGACCUUGGCAAAAAAGUAAGACGCAUGUUAGCUAUUAUCGAUGAAGAACUGCACAGAAGUUUAUUCUCUUUCACAAAACUCCAUUUCUUUUGGCUUCGGUUGGAGAGUAUCAGAAGAUCAAAACUCCAACUGGGAUAAUCAAUCCAUUCUGAUGAUCAUAUCUUGAAAGAGGUGUCAGCAUUACUAGAUACGGCCAACGAAGGGUGGGCCAUAAUCGAAAGAGGGAAUACGGCAGACAUUGUAAAACUUUCAGCUAGUGAAGCAAUAAAAUGGUUGGAUAGGUUUCCAGAAUGGGAAGAAAAUGUGGCGAAGUUAAGAUUCGUGUCAGCACUUAGAGCUGCCAUUGAUCCACCUCCUCCUCCUCUAGGGCCUUGCAAUCAUUCGGAAGUUGUUCCUUAUGCAGAAGGGCUAACAGAAGAAACUGUACUGUGUGAGAAGUGUAAGCAUCCCAUGAAGAAGAACGUUGUUUAUAAGUGAAAUAUCGAUAUGUACUGAGCAAACAAACAUCAAGCUAUUUAUUUGAUUAUCGCUGUUAAACAGAAUGCCUGACAAUUUAUUAUGAUCAUCUAUUACAGAUUGAUGCAACUUAAUUUUACAGUACACUUGAUCAUGUUCUUAGUAAACAAUACAGUAACUAUAUCCUUGCUUGUUCUGUUAAUUCCCGGCGAUAUGUAUAAAGAUAAAGAGCACAAAAAAAAAAGGUAGAAAAGGCGGCCUUCUACAAGGUGCAGCUUUUGAUCCUCUGGAUAUAGGCCCAUUGAUAAAAUUAGUAGAAAGACGACAGCAAAGAAAGAAACUAGAAUCUCCCAUCACAAAUAAAAUAAAACCAAACUUGCUACAAGCAAAUAGCAAUUAAUCUGUGGUUUCUUAUUAGUUUUCCUGUACUAGCAUAGUUAACUAUUUCAUAGAUGUUAAACCCGGCCAUUCUCAGCUAGUUGAUCCUAGAAAACCAUGACCUAAAGUUCUAUCAUGUUGAGUUUUAAACCUGUUUGUUUUUGUAUUUUAAAAAUAUUCUUAAAAGAAAUUGAAAUUUUUUUUUCUUUGCUUUAAAUUAAUAUUUUGUUGGUGUUUUUAAAUCAUUUUAAUGCGCUAAUGUCAAAAAUAAUUUUUAAAAAAUAAAAAAAUAUUAUUUUGAUACAUUUCCGAGUGAAAAGUACUUUAAAAAGAAACUACAACCAUAUUUCCAAACACACUAAGUUGAAUAAAAAAAAGUCAUUAACUAGAUCAAAUCUGAUUAACUCGAUUGAGUUUUUAAUUACUCUAUUAACUUGGUCCAAACUCAACUAGAUUUAGAUUGGAUGUGGAAGAUUUUUAAAAAUAUAUUUUUUUAAUAAAAAUGAUUUAUUUGAAUUGAUUUGAUAAUCAGUAGAUUAACUUAAUAACUUGGUAACUCAUCCAUCAUAAUUUUAAAACUCGACCUAAAGCAACAAGAUCAAGUCUCUGGUUACGAGCCAAAAUGAUUAAUUUAGAUUGACCUAAUUAUUUUUAAAGAAUUGAAACAAUAUUAUUUUGAUAAAAAAAAAAUUAUAAACAAAUCAACAAAUUAAUAGUCAUAUUGUGACCAGGUUAGACCCCGGUCAGAUCGAUUAUUGAGUCAAUCAAUUUUUGUUCUUCAAUCCAUAUUAGCCCGAUCUCAAACGCCUAUCUUAUUCCCACAUUCCUUGGCCUUCAAGUCUUGAGAAUAUAAGGUUCUUCCUUAUCCUUUUCCUUUUCGACCUUAUGCUUCGAUUUUGGUCCCCAUAUUGUCAUUCUUUGGAAUUUCAUAAAGUUUGGGCUAUUAAUUAUUUCAAGUUCGAUAGGAUCAAAAAUCAAUCAUUUGAAUAGUCUAAGCGCAAAUCGACAAUGAUCCAAUAGUUUUAUAUAUUGUUUCUUUGAUAUAUUUGUUCUGAACUAAAAGACGACCUUCUUUAAUUUUCUAUUCCUUCACUCUUCUUGGAUGGUUUUUUUAUAAUUUCUUUAUGAUAUUUAGUUUGAGAUAAUGUUAUAUUUCAAUUACACUUAAAAUUUGGUGAUGAGAGUUUUUUUUUAAUUAAGGAAAUAAAUACCUAUCAAUAUAUAUACUCUUACUUCUCAAACAAAGAAAAAAAAGCAAUCAAUUGUAACCUUUAACUUUUUAUUAUACUCUAAUAUUUUUUGUCACAUAAAUGUUUUUUUAAAAAAAUUGACAGUUACGUUAGCAACGCUUGAGUAAUUUUAAUUUGAAUUAAUAAAAGUACCCUUUUAAGUAAAUAUAUAAUAAUAUAAUUUGAAUUAAUAAAAGUACCCUUUUAAGUAAAUAUAUAAUAAUAUAAUUUGAAUUAAUAAAAGUACCCUUUUAAGAAAAUAUAUAAUAAUAAAAAAGAUUUGAACUUGGGUAAGCUUAGUUAUAUAUUGGAACGACCUAAUGUAACGCAACGCACACGACCAUUAAUAGUUUUUAAAGGUAUCACAUUGACUUAAAGUACUUUCUUGUUAAAUCAUAUUAAAACCAUAAUGUGGUGCACACUUUACCAUUAAAUUUAACAGAAUUAAUAAAUGAUAAAGGGCUAUAUUAAAGAAUAAGAACAAACUAAAUAUUAAUUAUAAUUGAUUGUUUUUGUUUGUAAGAGGAUAAAUGGCUGAUAAAUUGUGUAAUAUAUAAAGAUAUAUUGAUAGGUUUUUCUCUUUAAUAAUACAUGGCUGAUAAAUUGUUAAUUCUAGCGGAGGCGGCAUUCCCAACCUGACGGUGGUCUCUGGUCAUAUCGGCGGAGUGCUACAGAGGAUAGAGGAGAAUUUUGAUAACUUGACUCGUGCAGGAUGAGCAAAUAGGAAACUCCCUUCUAAAAUGUAAAGAAAUGGGGAGAAAGGCGGCUUGCAUGGCUUGGAGUUCAGAAUCUGGAUGGUUCGUACGUGGUGACUAAACUAUAAAUUGGUACUUACAGUUUGACAAAAUUAAUUAAUCAAUCCUCAUAAAUUUAGAAAGGUGGCUCGGUUUGGAAUUUUACAAACGGGUGCAGUCAGGGGCGGAGCCACGUAGGGUAAUGAGGGGGCAACCCCCUUAAUUUUUAUUUUCUUUAAUUCCUUUUAUAUUAAUAUUAAUAAUAUCUAGCAGAUUGUCUUUUUUUUGGUUAUCAAUUAAUCUAAAUUUUUUGGUUAUCAAUUAAUCUAAAUUAUCUAUUGUUAAUUUUUAAGGUGAAAAAAAAUCAAAAAAUUGAUUAAAUCCAAAAAAUUAAAAAAAAUAAUCAAAAAAACCAAACUGUGAAAAAAACUAAUUAACCCAAGUUAGUUUUUUUAUUUUAAAAAUAUUCUUACAUUAAUUUUAUUUGAUAUGUGUUAUUACAUAUAUUUUAAAUUAAUUUCUCUAUAUAAUAUAUAUCUACAUAAUAUAUAAUAUAUAAUAUUAAGUAUUUAUUAAUAAUUUAUUUUUUUAUUUAAAAAAUUCUGGCUCUGUUAGUGUACAGCUCGGAUAAUUGCUAGUGGAUUAAAUGUUGCUUUUCAUACAAAUAUGAUCAGAGUACUGCUGCCUUUCUAUUUGUUUGAGAACGUAGUUUCAUUCUAUGACGUUGAAAUUUGAAUUCCAGAUCUCUUGAAAAGAGUAAAUUACAUUGAUGUCAGAUGAGUUACAACUCGUUAAUGAUUUCUAUAAGAAAAGGAAAGGAUUUCAGCUUCUGAGUCUCAACAAGCAUAGCUAGGGCGUUGCCGCUGAAACAACAUUCUGAUCAUGGGCUGACUGGAAAGUAUGGACCUGUGACAUGCUCGGCAUCAACGUGUUCCACAAAAUAUAUAGAAGUAAAAUCAGCAAUCAGUCAGAGCUUAAACCCCGUCUGAAGCAAGGUAUUAAUUCUUGCUUUGACCUAUAAAUACAAGUCUCGGAUCAGCUAACCAAAUCCAUACCAGCACAAGCUGUUCGCUCCUCUCUCUUUCCCUCUUAGAAUUUGAAUCUAUAUAGUUUUCUUUGACCUCGAUGGCCACUCAUGCUCCUGAUGGCCGUGAAUUUUCAGUGAAGCCUCUUCUUCAUAUUGUUGAGGACAUUUUCCUCCGUGCCGCUCCUGCCCUAGGCAUGACCAGCAUUGUUCUGCAGCAGGUAUGUACCUAACCAGUAAUACUGCCUCUUGCAUGCUAUAUUUUUAUGUGCUUAUUAUACUGGUAUGAUAAUUUAUUCAGCAUUAUUAUUAUGUUUCUGAUCAUCACUGGUGACUUCUAUAUUUUAGGGAGCUCAUCAAGCACGACUUGAUGAAUUAGAAGAGAAGGCUCUUCAAAAUAGCUUUCAUGAAACGAUCGAGAUGCUGUCAUACAAUAUCAACAAGAUUUCCUGCGAGGUAAGUUUGGACAGAAAAGAUUUGUGGGUUUAUAAUUAAGUUCAUGAUGUUUAAAGACACUUAUAUAUGAAUACGCUGCUUUUUUCCAACAGAUGUCCUGCAAGUGUUCUGGAGGUGGAGAUGCACAUGCAACAACUUUGGCAAUAUUCAACUUGGUAUCAAACUACACGUGGGACGAAAAGUUGGUGCUAGCGUUAGCUGGAUUUGCCGUGAACUAUGGGGAGUUUUGGCUUGUCGCCCAGCUUUACCUUACAAACCCACUAGCUAAAGCGGUUGCACUUCUGAAGCAAUUGCCGGAUAUAAUUGAACGAGCUGACAAUCUGAACCCCAAGUUUGAGGAACUUACAACCCUUAUCAAGGCCGUGAUGGAUGUGGCCAGAUGCAUAUUUGAGUUCAAGGAGCUUCCGUCUCGAUACAUCACCCCUGACACUCCAGAAAUGUUAACUGCCACUGCGCAUAUCCCCACUGCUGUUUACUGGACCAUCAGGAGUGUUGUGGCUUGCGCAUCACAAAUUAUGGGCCUUAUUGGCAUGGGUCAUGAGUAUGUGUUUCCUUCUCCAUGAUAAAUUUGCUCCAUUCCCAGCCAAUAUACAUGUUGCUUCUCAAUGACUUGCUUAUAUCAAUCCGAAAUAUUUUGCACCAAAAUAACAUACAGACAAGCUCAGUCUACUCUGGCUCUGGCUAUGAAAGUACUAGAACGGUUUGCACAUGCAUGCAAAGCAGCCAAAAGUAGAGUGAAAAGGGUGCUAAACUUUUCCUUUGCAUCUCACUAUCUGCUCCACAGGUACAUAGCAUCCACAACAGAGGCUUGGGAGCUAUCAAGCUUGGCCCACAAGGUUAAUAACAUUCACAGCCAUCUCAUGAAGCAGCUCACUCUUUGUUUUCAGCACAUAGGUGAGUCCGAGCCCACUCAAACAAGUGCAAUUCAUAUCAAACAGUAUAUUAUAAUAUUCACAAUUUAAAAAAAUUAUGUUUUGAUGCAAAAUACAUGCUUGAUGGUGCAUGAUAACUAGUGAUCUCUCUGUGGCCCAGAUGAGAAAAGGCAUACUGAAGCAUUUCAAACACUUGUGAGCCUGUUCGAAGCUUUCCACAUUGACAACAAGAUGAUUCUAAAGGCUUUGAUUUAUGCCAAGGACGAUCAACUACCACUCUUUCAUGGGUCCACCAAGAAAAGGGUUCGGUUAUUGUUCUGUUCUUUCAGUCCAUUUUAUUCAGAUUAUAUUACUGUGAGUUAAUUCACUGGAUGAUAGACACCAGAAAGAUUGUUGAGUAAAAACUGCAUGCGGUCUUGCUUGAAAUCUUACCACAUGCAUAGUAGUUAUGCAGAUAUCAAUCAUACUUCCUCACUAGAAUAUUUGUUAAUGAUCCUCCUAUAUGAAUAUACAAGGAUAAAACAGAUUUCCCACUGUUGAUUACAGGCAAGCCUUGAUGUGUUGAGAAGGAGGAGUGUGUUGCUGCUGAUUUCGGACCUCGAAAUCUCCCACGAAGAGCUUUCAAUGCUGCAACAAAUGUACAGUGAGGCGCGGGAGCAACCAGGAAGACCAGAGAGCCAGUAUGAGGUUGUAUGGCUCCCAGUUGUGGACAGAUCAUCCCCGUGGAGUGAAACAAAGCAAAAGCUGUUUGAGGAUUUUCAAAGGAUUAUGCCAUGGUACUCUGUCCAUCACCCUUCAUUGCUAGAUGUUGCAGUCAUCAGGUACAUCAAAGAGGUGUGGCACAUCAACAAGAGGCCCUUGCUUGUGGUUUUGGAUCCACAAGGGAGAGUAGUCAACCCCAAUGCAAUCCACAUGAUGUGGAUUUGGGGAAGCCUGGCUUUCCCUUUCACCAGCUUAAAGGAGGAAGCACUCUGGAAAGAAGAAACCUGGAAAAUCGAGCUAUUGGCAGAUAGCAUUGAUCCACUGAUCUUGUCUUGGGUAUAGCUUUGCUCUCUUGCAUGCAUAAUCAAACUAAAAUGCAGUCUUUAUCUCAACUUUCUAUCGACAUCAUCUACUACUUGCAAUUUCUCAGCAGAGGGAUUCAAAUUCCCCAACUUGAAACUGAUUCAUAAACUAGACAACAACCCGACUGGUGAAUAUGAAUUUCAUACGCGCAUUAUUCAUGAAUUUUACACAACUAAUUAAUUGUUAUUGCAGAUAGAUCAAGGGAAGUACAUAUGCUUGUAUGGUGGGGAGGACAUUGAGUGGAUCCGUAAAUUCACCGUUACUGCAAAAGAUGUUGCGAGCAGGGCCGGUAUAACGUUAGAAAUGCUCUAUGUAGGGAAGAGCAACCCCAGGGAGACAGUUAGGAAAAAUAACACUAUUAUUACGACCGAGAAACUUAGCCAUGUAUUGCCAGACCUCACUUUGAUCUGGUUCUUUUGGGUGAGGCUGGAGAGCAUGUGGCAUUCCAAGGUGCAACACAAGAGGACUGUAAAGAAUGAUGCCAUCAUGCAGGAGAUAAUGACAAUGCUCAGCUUCGAUGGAAGUGAUCAAGGAUGGGCUGUGAUCGGCAGGGGACCUGCUGAUAUGGCCAAGGCAAAGGGAGAAACCAUAUUGAAAUCUUUUGUUGACUUUGAGAUAUGGAAGGAGGGUGCACAGGAAAAGGGUUUUUUGCCUGCACUGAUUGAUUACCUCCAUGAACUCCAUACCCCAUUCCACUGCAACCGUCUGAUACUGCCAGGGGCUACAGGGAGCAUCCCAGAGAGGGUCGUUUGUGCUGAAUGCGGCCGUCCCCUGGAGAAGUUCAUCAUGUAAUUGUUUGGAUCUCAAUUACAUAUCAUCAUAUGAUCAUCCUUACCACAAGAAGUUAGAGGAAGUUAUGAAAUUAUUUGGAUCUCAAUUUCUUAUACAUGUACUGACGCUGAAAGGGACAUAUUCGAUUUUUUGUCAAACUCUUUGCCAUGGUACUCAAUCCGGCGACCGUGGGUGGCGACCGUGGGUGCUCUACUCAGCUGUUGUGAACUACAUAAAACAAGAAUGGAACUACAAAAAUGUCCCUUUUAUUGUAGUGCUGGAUUCACAAGGCAUGGUCAGAAAAUCAAAGGCAAUGGAUAUGGUGUUCAUCUUUGGUUUCUUAUUAGGUUUCCUGUACUAUCAUAGUUAAUUAUUUCACAUGACCCCAAGUUUUAUCAGGAAUGAGUUUUAAGUUGAAUAAAAAUAAUUAUUAACUAGAUUUGACUAAGUUUUUAAUUACCUGAUUAGCUUGGUUCAAACUUAACUAGAUUUAAACUGAGUUUGGAAGAUUUUUUUUUUAAAAAUAAUUUAUUUGAAUUAAUAUGUUAACCAGUAGAUUAAUUCAACAACUUAGUAACUUAUAUACAAUAGUUUUAAAACUCGAUCUAAAAUAAUAGAAGUAAGUCUGUGUUAUGAGUCAUGAUGACCUGAUUUUUUUUAAAAAAAUCAAUACAAUAUUGUUUUGAUAAAAAAAAGAUUAAAAACAAAUCAAUGAGUUGAUAGUCAUAUUGUAACCGGGUUAGACUCCAGUUAAAUCAAUCAUUGAGUUAAAAAAUUUUUUCCCAAUCCAAACAAGCCCAAUGUUAAAUUAGAUGGGUUUUGGGUGACUAGCCGGCGGAUCUCAAAUUUUAAAAUUUUGUUAUCCACUACUUUUUACCCCCACGCCUGCCUUAUUCCCACAUUCCUUGGCCUUCAAGUCUAGAGAAUAUAAGGUUCUUCCACCUUAUGUUUUUUUAAAGUGAUUUGAUGACAGUUACGUUUACAAAGCUUGAGUAAUUUUAAUUUUAAUUGAUAAAAGUACCCUUUUAAGUAAAUAUAUAAUAAUAAAAAAGAUUUGUACUUGGGUAAGCUUAGUUAUAUAUUGAAACGACCUCAUGUAACGCAACGCACACGACCAUUAAUAGUUUUUAAAGGUAUUACAGUACCUUUUUUUUUUUUUUUUUGAUUAAGUCAUAUUAAAGGCUUGAUUUGAAGUAUCAUUCUAGUUGUUUUUUAAAAUGUUUUUUAUUUAAAAAUAUAUUAAAAUAAUAUUUUUUAUUUUUAAAAUUAUUUUUAAUAUCAACGCAUCAAAUAAUCUAAAAACACUAAAAAAUAUAUUAUUUUGAAGUAAAUAAAAAAAUAAAAUUCAAAUUCAAAUUUUUUCAAAAACGUUUUUAAAAAACUAAAACAAACAGGUUUAAAACUAUAAUGUGUUGCACUCUUUACCAUUAAAUUUAACAGAAAUAAUUGAUAAAGGGGUAUAUUAAAGAAUAAAAACAAACUAUUGUAUUAGUUAAUGAGUUUUUAUUUUAAUUUUUCCAUAUAUUUAAAAUAUUGUUUUGGGUAAAUGAAUAAGUUGGAAAAUAAUUUGGCGUAUUGAAUUUUGAUUCGUAAGAAAAUUAGGAGGAAAAAAAAAUGAGUAAUUAAGUCACUACUAGAAAUUCGCUAAAUACCAACGGAUUUACCAACGGAAUAUUUUUGUCGGUAAUUUGAGGUCGAAAUUACCGACGACCACUUUUCCGUUUGUAAUUCAGUCGGUAACUACCGACAGAACAUUUUUCGUCCAUAAUUCAGUCGGUAACUACUGACGGAAAAUUUCUGUCGGUAGUUACCGACUGAAUUACGGACGGAAAAGUGUCCGAAUUAAAAAAAAAAAGGCGGGUCGCUGACGUGGAGGUUUUGGCGGGUUAUUUAUUUCUGACGGCAUCACCGACGGAUUCAAAACGACAGCCCGUACAGUGACGUGACCGGUUCGCCGUUUAAAUUACCGACGGACUCACCGAGGGAUUUGAAAUGGCAGAUCCGUACGGUGACGUGUCUAUGUUUCCGUUAGAAUCACCGACGAAAAAUCCAUCGAUGAAACCGUAGGGAAAAGGUUAAUAUAUGACAGCUCUGCCGACCCUCUCCUCCCCUGUUUCUCCUUCUUCUUCCUAAUCCCAACUCUCCCCAUCUGCAAACAACCAGCCCCCAAAAAAAAAAAAUCUACCUCAUAUCAGCACAACAAGUUAUAUUUCUUGAAGUUUUGUGGUCACAGCAUCCGUGUUCUGAUUUACCGACGGAUUUUAUCAAUUUUUGUAAGUAAUUCUAUCUUUUUAAAUUUUAACAUUUAAUUAAAUGUCAAUUUUAUUAUUUUUUUAGUAUAUGUAUUUUGUUAGUAGAUGUACAUGUUUUAUUGUUAUUUCUCAAACAAACUUGUAGUAUAUGAAUGUAUAAUUCUAUACCGGAGGAUGGAUUAUUGUAACGAGGUUCAGAGUUUUAUUAAUUUCGCAACAUCUAUUCCCAGAAAUUUUACUGGAGGCGGUAUUAGGUGUCCAUGCAGGAAGUGUGAAAAUAAAAAGUAUCUGCAUCCAGAUGUUGUAAUGAUGCAUCUUCUACACAAAGGGUUUAUGAAGAAUUACCAGUAUUGGUAUGCACAUGGAGAAGUAUUUGGUAGUAAAAGGAGAAUGGAAGAAACGGUGGUUGGGUCUACUUCUAAUGCUAGCAACGUGCAUGAAACGGCAGAUGACAACACUAAUCCUUACAGAAAUAUAGUUAUGGAUGCAAUGAGAAUGAAUCAAGGUAAUGGCAGUCAAUGUCCAAUCGUAGAAGAAGAACCUAAUGCAGAUACAACUAGGUUUUUUGAUUUGUUGAAAGAUUUUGACGAACCAUUAUGGGAUGGCUGCACGAACCACAGUAAAUUAUCAGCCGUAGCACAGGCGUUCACCAUCAAGUCAGAUCACGGGUUGAGUGAGGCUGGGUAUGACAAGAUUAUUGAAUGGGCAAGAAGCAUUUUACCUGAAGGGAACAGGCUGAAAGAGAACUUCUAUGCUGCGAAGUCCAUGAUGAAACCCCUCAGUUUAGGAUACUAAAAAAUUGACAUGUGCCCUAACUUUUGCAUGUUAUACUACCUUGAAAAUGCUGAGAUGACCGAGUGCAUGACAUGCGGGCAUUCCCGUUACAAACCUAGAACUAGCAGGAGAAAGACUCUAGUGGCAUAUAAAAAACUUAGAUACUUCCCGAUCACACCUAGACUGCAGAGGUUAUUCAUGUCACCAAGGACUGCUGAGCACAUGACAUGGCACCAAGCACACCAUGCGGUUGAUGGAGUGAUGGUUCAUCCUUCUGACGGCGAAGCGUGGAAAUGCUUUAACAGUGUUCAUCCUCACUUUUCAGCUGAAUCAAGGAAUGUGCGUCUUGGAUUGUGUACAGAUGGAUUCAACCCAUUUGGGUCAUUUGCUGCUCCUUAUUCUUGUUGGCCGGUCAUACUCACAGUUUAUAACUUGCAACGAAGAUGGGAUGGGAUUUGUUGCCGCUUUAACAGUGUUCAUCCUUUUCGUGAUUUGUUGCCAAAGGGAAUAUGGGAUGCACUCACGGAGAUCAGUCAUUUCUUCAUGAAUAUGGGAUGCACUCACGGUGAAGUUCCUUCCAGUGGGAACUUGUCAAUAUUCUCUAAUACUGGACGACCCACACCUAAAAAUGUCGUAAGAGGAAGAUAUUUGUCGGAAAUAGAGUUCAAACAAGCGCACAACUAUGUUCUAUUUAACUGUGAUGAGUUGAGACCUUUUAUUCAGUAAGUUUAUACUAAUUAAACUUUGUUAGUAAUAUAUUGUUAAUUAUAUAUUGUAAUAUCAAACACUCAUUAUCACUUGCAGGCAACAUCGUCAAUAUUUGCUCUCCAAUAACUCACAGCUGACCGAAUCCCAGAUCUUUCAAUUACAAGAUGAGCAGUUUGCCACGUGGUUCAGAACACAUGUAAGCACUAUCACAAACUCAUUCUAACUUGCAAAAUUACUGUACGUGUGCAUGUCAUUACAAGAUUCUCGUUCAUUUACUGUUUAUUGAUGUACAUUACAUACAAGGUUUAUCAAAUGGGAAGGAGUGCACCUAAGUCAUUGUCUUCACUAAGCCUGGGGCCUGAAAGAAAAUGUAAGUGCUACAACGGGUAUUUUAUCAAUGGAUAUGUUUUCCAUACUGAAGAAUACGGGCAAGGAAGAAAGACAUACAAUAGCGAUGUUUGUGUUAAGGGAUCCACUAGUAGUGAGUUAGAAGUUGACUACUAUGGUAGAUUAGAAGAGGUCGUCGAACUGCAAUAUCAUAACGAGCAGAAUAUAGUGUUUUUAUUCAAAUGUUAUUGGUAUGAUAUGACUGACAGAGGAAUCAGAGUUUAUCCGCACUAUGGUCUGGUCGAAAUCAACUCAAAAGCUAGACUCCGUAACAUAAAUGAUGUCUUUGUUUUCGCAAAGCAAUGUUAACAAGUUUAUUACACAUACACCCCUUCAUUUAGAAAGGAUCGAUCAAGAGUGGAUUGGUUGUCCGUUUUAAAAAUGAAAUCCCGGGGUCGUGUCGAGGUUGUUCAGGAUGAGAACAAAGACACAAGUGUGCGAGAUGAAGUCUUUCAAGUUAGUGAGGUGGUUGAACCAUAUCGAGUUGCUCCUUCGAUUGAAUUGGAAGAAAAUUCAAAUUUUCGUGUUUUCGAUGAUAGUCUUGUUGAUGUUGACGCAGAGGAGUUGAAUUUUGUUUUGAGCUCUAGUGGACAAGCAAAUAUCGAUGAAGAAGAUGAUAUUCAAAUUGAAGAUUGCGAUGAAGGUGAUGACAAUUCAAUUGAUGACGAAGAAGAAGAAAAUUCUGACUAACUACCAAAAUGAAGCCCUAUGUAAAACCCCUUUUUUCAUGUAAUUUAGAUUAUGGAUGAUAUAUUUUGAAACACAAAAUAUUUAUUACUUGAAAUAAUUAGUUGAAAUGCCACAAUUACGAAAUAAUUACUUGAAAUAAUUAGUUGAAAAUGGAUGAUAUAUUUUGUGACUCGAAAUAAUUACUUGAAAUGCCACCACAUCACCGACGGCCACACCGAUGGACGUAGUCCGUCGGCAUUUCACAGAGAGUUCGAAAAUAAUUACUUGAAAUGCCACCAUAUCACCGACGGCCACACCGAUGAAUAUAUAGUCGUCGGUACGUUGUCAAUUUUACCGACAGAAUUCCUGACAGACCGCACGAAUAUCAAAGGGUUGUGCAUUAAAUGCAUCUCUGACCGCGUCAGAUUGCCGACGGACUGCGAAAAAUAUAGAGGGCCAUUAAAAAAAUUGGUGCGAAAUUCAAAGUUUACCGAUGGAUUUUUAACACCUCACUGAUGGAAUAAAUUAAAAUAAUAAUUAAUUAUAUAGCUGUCGGUGAAUCCGUCGGUAAAAUUGGUAUUUAUCCUUCAGUUCAUUUUCUCUUCUCCUCAGUUUUUCACCAUUCUUUUCCUCUCCGCUCUUCAGACGAUCUCAAGCUUUUUUUAUCGUGAAUCUCCAUCAGUUUAAAAGGUUAGUGUUUCCUCUAUUUCAUUUUACUUUAAUGGUUUUUUUUUGCUAUUUUAUUUUUUAUUUUUUUUUGGUGUAUUGUUUGUAAUGUAGAUAAAGUCUCAAGCUUUUUUUAUCGUGAAUCUCCAUCAGUUUAAAAGGUUAGUGUUUCCUCUAUUUCAUUUUACUUUAAGGGUUUUUUUUGCUAUUUUUUUGUUUUUUUUUUUUUGGUGUAUUGUUUGUAAUGUAGAUAAAGUCUAUAGUUUUUUUUUUUGCAUAAUUCAUUGCUAAAGUCUAUAGUUUUUUUUGCAUAAUUCAUUUCUAAAGUCUAUAGUUUUUUUUUGAAUUUUUUGAAUAUUUUUUAUUGUUGUAUUGGCAUAAUUAUUAUUAGUUAAUUUGUUGAAUAUUUAUUGUUAAUGUUGAAUUUACCAUAGAAUUAGUAAUUGAAUAUGUUGGAAUAAUUAUUAAUUUUACUUUAUUAUUGCAUGAUUUGUGUUUAAUUUUUUCCAUUUAUUUUGAUUGUUAUUCUAGAGUUUUUUUUUUAAUUUAUUGUUUUGUUGUAUUGGCAUAAUUAUUGAAUAAUUUGUUGAAUUGUAAUUUUUAAUGUUGAAUUUACCUUAGAAUUAGUAAUUGAAUAUGUUGGAAUAAUUAUUAGUUUUACUCUAUUAUUGCAUGCUUUGUGUUUAAUUUUUUUCAUUUAUUUUGAUUGUUAUUCUAGAGUUUUUUUUUUAAUUUAUUGUUUUGUUGUAUUGGCAUAAUUGUUGAAUAAUUACUUGAAUUGUAAUUCUUAAUGUUGAAUUUAACUUAGGAUUAGUAAUUGAAUAUGUUGGAAUAAUUAGUAUAGAUUGGGUAAAUUAGUUGUGGCUAUUGUUAAUAUGUGCAGGUUUGUGGAUUUGGGUAGUAUCCGGUAUAGGGGAGGUGCUGUCGAAUUUUUUUUUUACAUUUGACUUUAAUUAUAUAAUUAUUUGUAUCAAAUUGUGUAGAUGUGUAGAACGAAAACCAGAGCUGGUCGCUCAAGUACGGUCGCAGCUAGUUCAUCUAGCAGCGAGGAUGAUAUUUCCUUAGGUGCCUCUCAAGAAGAGGCACCUACACCACCUGCGCCGUCAACCGAUGUUGCCUCUUCCAGCGGUAUUUCACAGCGCAGAGGCGGCGUGCCUUCGCAGUGGAAUCAAUUUACCCGCAAGUACGAAGCACAGUGGACGACCUUUCAAUGUAAGUUUGUUAAGGUUUUAGUUUUUUUUGUUUAAAUUACAACAUAAUUUAUGAAGUAAUCACUAUUGAAUUUAUUUCAUUUAUUUUCAGGUUCACAAACAUUGAAGCCGCCCGAGUAAUAUCAUCGGCGUUUAAAUCGUCGAUGGAGAUUCCAUUGUUUCAAUGGAGUCAGAUAUCCAAGCACCCUGAAUGGAUGCCUCAAAUUAAUGCAUGGUUUAACAGGUUUGAGGUUGGUAUUAAUUUAUAAUUUUCAGCUUAUUAAUAUAAUUGUAAAUAAAUUAUUAUUUUUAUUUAAACUUGUUUAUUUAUACACAGCACAAAUUCUGCUGGGACAGUGAGCAUAACACUGUUGUGAGGAGGGUGUGGGAAAAUCACGCGGCAACUAGGUAAGAUCGAAAACAAUACAAGAUUUUUUUUAGACAAAAAUUUAUGUUUUGAAAUGUAAUUUUUGGUUGCGUGAAGUAGGUUGCGUGAUUUUUGGUAUGAAGCACAAAAAAAGGCAAAAAAAAACCGCGAGGGAUAGGGGUUUCCAAGGCUGGAACGAUGUUGCGGUUUGGAGGGAUUUCAAACCGAUAUACAUCUCGGAAGAUAUAUGGUCGCACUAUUUUGAGCACAUGACGUAUGAGCAGUUCACACGACGCUCACAGUCCGGUGCUGGCAACUGGAAUCGGCCAAUUCAUGGCGGGGUGACAACGCACACUGGCGGCUCCGUUCCGUUUGCUGCACAUGCAAAACGGAUGGUAAGAUUAAUUUAAAUGAAAUAUAUCGUUAAAUUCAGUUGUUGUUAAUAUAUCUUUUUUCAUUAUAGGCUACGUCUCUUAGACGUGAGCCGAGCCCGAUAGAGCUGUUUGUGGAGACGCACAUGCGGAGUCAAGACCACCAGAAGGGGGCGCAACAGUUCGUUGAUAACCGUACUCAGCAUUUUGUGGUAUGUUUGUUCAACCAUUUUAUUUUGUAAGUUAUUAUGUUUAUUGUAUUGAAUAUGAUGAUUACUUUUUUCUUUUUAUUUUCAGGAGAUCUAUAAUAAUCGGUUGAGGGAGAGAUACGGGGACGAUAUUUUGACCCAUCCAGAAUUCGAUCCGGAUUUGUGGAUGGAGGUUGGCUCGCCGAGUGGACCCGAUAAAAAUCAGGUUUACGGGCUCUCCAACACUACGGCCGACAACUUGCGGUCGACCCGUAGUGUUUCAACCGUUGGGAGCUCCCAAUCAAUAUCGAGCUCCCAAUCUAAGGAGUUCGUGGCCUUGCAGUAACACACGGCUCAGCUUACCGAGAAAUACGAUAACCUAUCAGCGGAGUACGCACAACUCAAAGCGUCUCAUGCACAACAAAGAGCGGAGUCUGAGCAAAUCAAAGCAUCUCAAGCAUAACAAAAAGCGGAGUAUGAAGCGGCUUAUGAACAACAAAAGGUGGCUUAUGAACAGCUUCGCGAAAUGAUUAUGAACAUGGCAAAUAGUGAAACAUGUGCGCCUAAUCUUUUUUGGCCGUAUAACCACCAGCCUCCUUCAGGAUCUCCUCCUCCUCCUCCAGCUCCACCUUUAUAUUAAUUUGUAAUCAACAUUAUUUACCUUUAAAACUUCAUUUAAUAUUUUUCUUGAAACAUAUUCAGUUUGUAAUGAAUAUUAUUUAACUUUGUUUUUUUUUAUGUUUAAUAUAAAUUUUAUUUGCAUAAUUGGUUUGUAUUACAUUUAAUUUAUAUAGUUUUAUAUUAUAUAUCCUAAAUAAUUUUUUAAAAACAAAUUAAGAAAAAAACUAUUACCAAGGAUUUUACCGACGGAUGAAUUCGGUCGGUAUUUAAAAAACUCACCGACAGACUUACCGACAGAAUUAAUCCGUCGGCAUUUAACAGUAAGCUGCCAUCAGUACCGACGAAUUUACAGACGGAUAUAUUCGGUCGGUAUUUCAUACACUCACCGACGGAUUUACCGACGGAUAGAUUCCGUCGAUCAAUCACAAUAUCACCGACGGAAUAAAAAUCCGUCGGUAUAUUUCAAGCGAGAAUCUUUUUUUUUUUGCACGCAAAUUCCGUCUGUAAAACCAUCGGCAAAUGAUUUUUUUGUUUUUCCGACCGAUAUAGCGACGGAAGGGGGAAUUACCGACGAAGAUAAAGCCGACGGACAUAAUCCGUCGGUGAUGACGUCGGUAAAAAAAUCACCGACAAACUUCUAAUCACACACCGACAGAAUUGGUCCGUCGGUAAAACUGUGAAAUCUUGUAGUGAGUAAAAAGAAAAAAGAAAAACGGAAAAGGCAGGGGUGGUUUUUCAUAUUUGUUUGAAGUGUAAACGAGAGCCAAUUAAAAAGAAAAUAAAAACUUUAAUAUUUUAGUUACGAGUUUGUUUUCUUCUAUACAUCGGAUUCUAAUGGCUUUGGACCUCGUAUAAGACAGAAGCUAGCGGCGGCGGCAUUCCCAACCUGACGGUGGUCACAGGUCAUAUCGGCGGAGUGCUACAGAGGAUAGAGGAGAAUUUUGAUAACUUGACUCGUGCAGGAUGAGCAAAUAGGAAACUCCCUUCUAAAAUGUAAAGAAAUGGGGAGAAAGGCGGCUUGCAUGGCUUGGAGUUCAGAAUCUGGAUGGUUCGUACGUGGUGACUAAACUAUAAAUUAGUACUUACAGUUUGACAAAAUUAAUUAAUCAAUCCUCAUAAAUUUAGAAAGGUGGCUUGGUUUGGAUGUUCCUUUCUUCAAUUUUAUAUAGAAACAACAUUCCGAUCAUGGGCUGACUGGAAAGUAUGGACCAGUGACAUGCUCGGCAUCAACGUGUUCCACAAAAAUAUAUAGAAGUAAAAUCGGCGAUCAUAGUAUUCGAAUCUUCGACAACAUAGUUAAAAUCAGUUACAUUAAUUAUAGACAGGACCUUAAUUAUCCAAAAUUAUAUCCCUGGGGCACUUUAGAGCUUAAACACCGUCUGAAGCAAGGUAUUAAUUCUAGCUUCGACCUACAAAUACAAGUCUCGGAUCAGCUAACCAAAUCCAUACUAACACAAGCUGUUCGCUCCUCUCUCUUUCCCUCUUAGAAUUUGAAUCUAUAUAGUUUUCUUUGACCUCGAUGGCAGUAGUACCUCAAAAGAUGAGGCGUGAACGCAGUAUGUUCUCAUCAUCUGAUGACACUGCGAUGAUGAAGCAAAUUCAGGCCACUCAUGCUCCUGAUGGCCGUGGACGUGAAUUUUCAGUGAAGCCUCUUCUUCAUAUUGUUGAGGACAUUUUCCUCCGUUCCACUCCUGCCCUAGGCAUGACCAGCAUUGUUCAGCAGCAGGUAUAUACAUAUAUAACCAGUAGUACUGCCUCUUGCAUGCUAUAUUUUUAUGUGCUUAUUAUAUUGGUAUGAUAAUUUAUUCAGCAUUGUUAUUAUGUUUCUGAUCAUCACUGGCAAGGGCGGAGGCAAUGCAAAGGCUUGGGUGUGCUCUAGUUUAGGUCAAGAUUUUAUCAAUAUUUUUUUACUAGUUUUAUAUAAAAAGAAAUUGUAAUUUUCCAUUAAGUUAUCAAAAAAUUCUGAAAAUUUACGUGGAGAUGCUUUAACUUAGUUUAAAAUUUCAGAAGUUUUGGAGAAAUUCAAAAAUUUGUUAAAAAAUCACAAUUUGACCAGUUUUACGUUAUUGGGUGUAAUUUUCAAUCCGACCAUCAGAUUAAGCUGAAAUUUUACGAGGGAUCUUAAAAUAUAUUGAAUAAAAUCUGGUUAAAAUUUUAAGAUGAACAGAGUUUGAUAGUGCUAAUAAAAAAAAAGUCAAAUAAAAACAAAACGACUAAUUAAAGGUAAAAUGGUUAUUUGCUAUUAAAAAAUAAAACAAAUCAAUUCUUCCUUCCUUUUAUAUGUUGCCGAUUGGAAAAAAGCAGAAUAUAAAAAGAAAGAAAAGAAAAGGCGAGGGAGAAAAAGAGAAAAGUAAGGGAAAAACAUAAAAAAAAAUCAAAUGAAAAAAAUAAGAAAAGUGAAAGAAUAGCCUUGUAAACUUAUAAAGUUCAACUUAUAAAACACUAACCUAAGGAAGAAUCAAGUGAAGAAAGGAGGAAUUGAGAGAGGGAAAAAAUUUAAUGACUUUAUUUUUCAGUUAACAUGAGAUUGUUAUUUUAUCCCGGUUGAGGGGUUGUUACAAUAUUGAUUCAGAUUUGAUUAUAGAUGAAUUAUAUUCCACAAAACAUUGAAGGAUAUAACUUCAAUAUUAGUGAAUUUAUUUUUAUUUUUAUUUAAAUUUAAAUUUUAUAUAUUUUCAAAUUUAAUUUUUAAUAUUUUGGAUAAUGUAAUUGAAUUAAAACUUUACUGUUAAUUUUAAAAAUUUAUGUACAUAAAUUAAUAAUUUAUCUUAAAAAAAUUAUAUAUUUAUUUAAUAAUCCACGGUAGGAAAAAUUCCACGCCCUCGAUCACUGGUGACUUCUAUAUUUUAGGGAGCUCAUCAAGCACAACUUGAUGAAUUGGAAGAGAAGGCUCUUCAAAAUGGCUUUCAUGAAACAAUCGAGAUGCUGUCUUACACUAUCAACAAGAUUUCCUGCGAGGUAAGUUUGGACAGAAAAGAUUUGUGGGUUUAUAAGUUCAUGAUGUUUGAAGACACUUAUGAAUACGCUGCUUUUUUCCAACAGAUGUCCUGCAAGUGUUCUGGAGGUGGAGAUGCACAUGCAACAACUUUGGCAAUAUUCAACUUGGUAUCAAACUACUCGUGGGACGAAAAGGUGGUGCUAGCGUUAGCUGGAUUUGCCGUGAACUAUGGGGAGUUUUGGCUUGUCGCCCAGCUUUACCUUACAAACCCACUAGCUAAAGCGGUUGCACUUCUGAAGCAAUUGCCGGAUAUAAUUGAACGAGCUGACAAUCUGAACCCCAAGUUUGAGGAACUUACAACCCUUAUCAAGGCCGUGAUGGAUGUGGCCAGAUGCAUAUUUGAGUUCAAGGAGCUUCCGUCUCAAUACAUCACCCCUGACACUCCAGAAAUGUUAACUGCCACUGCGCAUAUCCCCACUGCUGUUUACUGGACCAUCAGGAGUGUUGUGGCUUGCGCAUCACAAGUUAUGGGCCUUAUUGGCAUGGGUCAUGAGUAUGUGUUUCCUUCUCCAUGAUAAAUUUGCUCCAUUCCCAGCCAAUAUACAUGUUGCUUCUCAAUGACUUGCUUAUAUCAAUCAGAAAUAUUUUUGCACCAAAAUAACAUAUAGACAAGAUCAGUCUACUCUGGCUCUGGCUAUGGAAGUACUAGAACGGUUUGCACAUGCAUGCAAAGCAGCCAAAAGUAGAGUGAAAAGGGUGCUAAACUUUUCCUUUGCAUCUCAUUAUCUGCUCCACAGGUACAUAGCAUCCACAACAGAGGCUUGGGAGCUAUCAAGCUUGGCCCACAAGGUUAAUAACAUUCACAGCCAUCUCAUGAAGCAGCUCACUCUUUGUUUUCAGCACAUAGGUGAGUCCGAGCCCACUCAAACAAGUGCAAUUCAUAUCAAACAGUAUAUUAUAAUAUUCACCAUUUAAAAAAAUUAUGUUUUGAUGCAAAAUACAUGCUGGAUGGUGAUAACUAGUGAUCUCUCUGUGGCCAGAUGAGAAAAGGCAUAUUGAAGCAUUUCAAACACUUGUGAGCCUGUUCGAAGCUUUCCACAUUGACAACAUGAAGAUUCUAAAGGCUUUGAUUUAUGCCAAGGACGAUCAACUACCACUCUUUGAUGGGUCCACCAAGAAAAGGGUUCGGUUAUUGUUCUGUUCUUUCAGUCCAUUUUAUUCAGAUUAUAUUGCUGUGAGUUAAUUCACUGGAUGAUAGAGACCACAGAGAUUGUUGAGUAAAAACUGCAUGCGGUCUUGCUUGAAAUCUUACCACAUGCAUAGUAGUUAUGCAGAUAUCAAUCAUACUUCCUGACUAGAAUAUUUGUUAAUGAUCCUCCUAUAUGAACAUACAAGGAUAAAACAGAUUUCCCACUGUUGAUUACAGGCAAGCCUUGAUGUGUUGAGAAGGAGGAGUGUGUUGCUGCUGAUUUCGGACCUCGAAAUCUCCCACGAAGAGCUUUCAAUGCUGCAACAAAUGUACAGUGAGGCGCGGGAGCAACCAGGAAGACCAGAGAGCCAGUAUGAGGUUGUAUGGCUCCCAGUUGUGGACAGAUCAUCCCCGUGGAGUGAAACAAAGCAAAAGCUGUUUGAGGAUUUUCAAAGGAUUAUGCCAUGGUACUCUGUCCAUCACCCUUCAUUGCUAGAUGUUGCAGUCAUCAGGUACAUCAAAGAGGUGUGGCACUUCAACAAGAGGCCCUUGCUUGUGGUUUUGGAUCCACAAGGGAGAGUAGUCAACCCCAAUGCAAUCCACAUGAUGUGGAUUUGGGGAAGCCUGGCUUUCCCUUUCACCAGCUUAAAGGAGGAAGCACUCUGGAAAGAAGAAACCUGGCAAAUCGAGCUAUUGGCAGAUAGCAUUGAUCCACUGAUCUUGUAUUGGGUAUAACUUUGCUCUCUUGCAUGCAUAAUCAAACUAAAACGCAGUCUUUAUCUCAACAUUCUCUCGACAUCAUCUACACCUUGCAAUUUCUCAGCAGAGGGAUUCAAAUUUCUCAACUUGAAACUGAUUCAUAAACUAGACAACAACCCGACUGGUGAAAAAGAAUUUCAUACGCGCAUUAUUCAUGAAUUUUACACAAGUAAUUAAUUGUUAUUGCAGAUAGACCAAGGGAAGUACAUAUGCUUGUAUGGUGGGGAGGACAUUGAGUGGAUACGUAAAUUCACCGCUACUGCAAAAGAAGUUGCGAGCAAGGCCGCUAUAACGUUAGAAAUGCUCUAUGUAGGGAAGUGCAACCCCAGGGAGAAAGUAAGGGAAAAUAACGUUAUUAUCAAGAACGAGAAACUUAGCCAUGUAUUGCCAGACCUCACUUUGAUCUGGUUCUUUUGGGUGAGGCUGGAGAGCAUGUGGCAUUCCAAGGUGCAACUCAAGAGGACUGUGGAGAAUGACGCCAUCAUGCAGGAGAUAAUGACAAUGCUCAGCUUCGAUGGAAGUGAUCAAGGAUGGGCUGUGAUCAGCAGGGGACCUGCUGAUAUGGCCAAGGCAAAGGGAGAAACCAUAUUGAAAUCUUUUGUUGACUUUGAGACAUGGAGGGACGGUGCACAGGAAAAGGGUUUUCUGCCUGCACUGAUUGAUAACCUCCUUGCACUCCAUAGCCCGUUACACUGCAACCGUCUGAUACUUCCAGGGGCUACAGGGAGCAUCCCAGAGAAGGUUGUUUGUGCUGAAUGCGGCCGUCCAAUGAAGAAGUUCAUCAUGUAUCGUUGCUGUACCGAUUGAGCUUUAUUACAAGUAAUACGGUAUGCUAUUUACGUUUUCAAUCACUAUCUAUUUCAAUAAAAACCAAGGCAGACACGGCCACUGUCGCUACUAUCUGUGAUGAUGCAAAAUCAGCCUGGUCUUGAAUAUGUCGAGGCUUUUCUACUACUACAUGUUAUUUGUAUUGUCAUAUGAUGCUUAUAAUUAAUGAAAGGUGUUGUUUGACGACCAUUUCUAGUUUCUACAUGUCCAUUUGCUUAGCACUGUUCUUACCACUCAUCGGAAAAUAUCCUAGAAUCAGAGCAUAUCUUAGGCCUCGAUGACAAGGAUUUGAGUUAGAACAUAACGCCUUAAACUUUAGGGAUUAGAAUCAAUACUCAAAAGUCAAACCCUUAAUAACAUCCAGUAACUGAUUCAGAUUUCUUGUUGCGUGGGGCAUUUUUAAUCUCGUAUUCCCCAUGAAAGUUCAUGAAGACUUGAAAUUAACCUUUUGAUCUUUGAACUCUCUUUGUCUCUGCUCCUUAUUCAUAUAUAUAUAUAUAUGUAUGUUUGCAGAGAGGCUUCGAUCAAUUUCAUCACCAUAAAUUUUUUUAAAAAAACAGUAGAAAACAAGAGACCAGAUCGAAAAAGAAAGGCAGGGAUGUACCAGGAGACAGGUAACACGGUGCUGGAAACAAAGCACCGUGCUGUUUAAUACUGGUAAUUACAUCAAUUAAUUUAUGCUUCGGAAACAUGAAUUUCUCCCACUAAUUACAAGGGAGAGUUCACCAGUAGGAAGCAACAGCAAGAUAAACACCAAAUUAUCAUUAAAGAUGGAAAUUAAUUAAAAAUGUUGCAAACCCAGCCAUGAAACCAAACCACGCAUUUCCAAAGAAACGUAGCAUGUCUUAUAUACAUACAUACAUACAUACAUAUAUAUGAAAGGGUUUGGGAUUGCAAUAAAUAUACGCUUCCGUUGACACGUCCUUACGGAUCUGUAAAAGCCAUUGAAGAACGCAACGCCUAUCGAAAGCGAUUAACAGCAAAAACAAAAACACGAAAAACAAACAAAUUGAGACUUCAAACAAGUUGAUCUACACGGAGAAGAGAGGAGAGCAAAGGAGAGCGGCUAGGAAUUCUUAUGCUUCUUCCAAUGCUCGUGCUAGGGGUUUUAUUUAUAUAGCGUGGAUGUGAUUUCCUUUUCGUGACAUGACAAAAAUGCCCCUCCAGCCAAGGCCCAGAAUGAUAAUUAAUGGAAGCCGACACGGAUGGGCUUCACUCUAACCGGUACUCCCGAGUCACGCGGGUUCGGGUUGGGUUGUGUAGGUGAAGACCUUCCUGUAUUUUGAAUUCAAAAAAAAAAAAAAACUAAGAGAAUAGGGGAUUUUAUUUUACUCACUUGAAUAGUGGUUUUUUUCUUUCUUUGGAUUUUAUUUUUGUUUUUAUCAUGUUUAUUUUUUAAAAAAAAUCAAUUUUAUUCUUUAAUAUAAAAUUUAUUUGAGAUUGAAUUUUAUAAUUUUUUUAAAAAAAAUUUGAGAUUGUCUCCGUUUCAUUAUCUAAAUCAUAAAUUUAACGAAUUGACUCGAGUUUUUUUUUUUAAUUAAAUUUUUUCUCAAUUUCACAAACAAAAAACAACAAGAGAAUGAGGUUUUACUCCUUGCAAAUAUUAUUCACUAUAUAUAAUGUUUUUUUUCUUCCUUUAAAUUUCAAAAAAAAUAUAUAUAUAAUGUUUUUUUUCUUCCUUUAAAUUUCAAAAAAAAAAAAAGUAUGAUUUUCGUUCUAUCCACAACAUUGCAUCUGAUACGAUUUUCUUUGAGUUCAUUUACAGCUAGGUGUAUCUAAAAUGAAGAGCAAGGUAGUUUUACUUUUGGUAUCUAAGGCAGAGCUCCUUCCACAAGAGGGAUUGCUUCUGCUGGUUGAUAGAACAUAUGAUCAUCCUUACCACAAGAAGUUAGAGGGAAGUUAUGAAAUUGUUUGGAUCUCAAUUUCUGAUAAAUGGACUGAUGCUGAAAGGGACAUAUUCGAUUUUUUAUCAAACUCUUUGCCAUGGUACUCAGUCCGGCGACCGUGAGUGCUCUACUCAGCUGUUGUGAACUACAUAAAACAAGAAUGGGACUACAAAAAUGUCCCUCUUAUUGUAGUGUUGGAUUCACAAGGUAUGGUUAGAAAAUCAAAUGCAAUGGAUAUGGUGUUCAUCUGGGUGCCAGAGCAUACCCCUUCUCAACUUCGAAAGAAAAGGAACUCCGGGACGAAGAGAAUUGGACCCUGAAACUUUUGCUUGAUGAAAUUGACCCUCUAUAUAUUAACCACCUGGGUAUGAUACUAGCAUCUUCAAUAUGAUAGCAUGCUUAAGGAAUUACUUUUAUCGCUUUUGCACUCAUUACAUUGCAUUGAUCUCAGGUAGAAGAAGGCAGAAAUAUUUGCAUUUAUGGAAGUGACAACCUAGACUGGAUUAGGGAAUUCAAUGCCAUAUGUAAGGUGAUCAGAAAUAACGGUGUGCAGCUUGAAAUGGUGUAUGUUGGUUGCAAAGACCUUGGCGAACAAGUAAGACGCUUGUUAGCUAUUAUCGAUGAAGAACUGCACAGAAGUUCAUUCUCUUUCACAAAACUUCAUUUCUUUUGGCUUCGGUUGGAGAGUAUCAGAAGAUCAAAACUCCAACUGGGACAAUCAAUCCAUUCUGAUGAUCAUAUCUUGAAAGAGGUGUCAGCAUUACUAGAUACGGCCAACGAAGGGUGGGCCAUAAUCGGAAGAGGGAAUACGGCAGACAUUGUAAAACUUUCAGCUAGUGAAGCAAUAAAAUGGUUGGAUAGGUUUCCAGAAUGGGAAGAAAAUGUGGCAAAGUUAGGAUUCGUGUCAGCACUUAGAGCUGCCAUCGAUCCACCUCCUCCUCCUCUAGGGCCUUGAAAUCAUUCGAAAGUUGUUCCUUGUGCAGAAGGGCUAACAGAAGAAACUGUACUGUGUGAGAAGUGUAAGCAUCCCAUGAAGAAGAACGUUGUUUAUGAGUGAAAUAUCGAUAUGUACUGAGCAAACAAACAUCAAGCUAUUUAUUUGAUUAUCGCUGUUAAACAGAAUGCCUGACAAUUUAUUAUGAUCAUCUAAUUACAGAUUGAUGCAACUUAAUUUUACAGUACACUUGAUCAUGUUCUUAGUAAACAAUACAGUAACAAUAUCAUUGCUUGUUAAUUCUCCGCGAUCUGUAUAAAGAUAAAGAGUAGAAAAAUAAGGUAGAAAAGGCGGCCUUCUACAAGGUGCAGCUUUUGAUCCUCUGGAUAUAGACCCAUUGAUAAAAUAAGUAGAAAAAGGACAGCAAAGAAAGAAACUAGAAUCUCCCAUCACAAAUAAAAUAAAAUCAAACUUGCUAGAAGCAAAUAGCAGUUAAUCUGUGGUUAGUCUGAUCUCAAAUUAGACGGGUUUUGGGUAACCUGACGGGCAGAUCCAAUUUUAAAACUUAGUUAUCCACCACUUUUCCCCCCCUCCCGGGUAUAGGUGCUGAACGCCUGUCUUAUUCCCACAUUCCUUGGCCUUCAAGUCUAGAGAAUAUAAGGUUCUUCCUUAUCCUUUAAUUUCCUUUUCCACCAUGUCAUUCUUUGGAAUUUCAUAAAGUUUGGGCUAUUAUUUCAAGUUCGAUAGGAUCAAAAAUCAUUUGGAGUGAUUUGAUGUGAUGUUCUUUCAAAAUCUAAGUGCAAAUCGAUUGAAUGUGGAUUGAAUGUGGGUGCUGCACAGAAAAUUGCUAGUGGAUUGAAUGUUGCCUUUCAUCAUAAUAAUAUGAUCAGAGUACUGCUGCCUUUAUCUUUGUUUGAGAACGUAAUUUCAUUCUAUGACGUUGAAAUUUGAAUUCCAGAUCUCUUGAAAAGAGUAGAUUACGUUGAGUCAGAUGAGUUACAACUCGUUAAUGAUUUCUAUAAGAAAAAGAAAGGAUUUCAGCUUCUGAGUCUCAACAAGCAUAGCAAGGGCGUUGCCGCUGAAACAACAUUCCGAUCAUGGGCUGACUGGAAAGUAUGGACCUGUGACAUGCUCGGCAUCAACGUGUUCCACAAAAUAUAUAGAAGUAAAAUCAGCAAUCAUAGUAUUCGAAUCUUCCACAACAUUGUUAAAAUCAAAGCCAAAAGAGAGAGUAAAAUCAGUUACAUUAAUUAUAGACAGGACCUUAACCAAAAUUAUAUCCCUGGGACACUUUAGACCUUAAACCUCGUCUGAAGCAAGGUAUUAAUUCUAGCUUUGACCUAUAAAUACAAGUCUCGGAUCAGCUAACCAAAUCCAUACCAACACAAGCUGUUCCCUCCUCUCUCUUUCCCUCUUAGAAUUUGAAUCUAUAUAGUUUUCUUUGACCUCGAUGGCCACUCAUGCUCCUGAUGGUCGUGAACGCAGUAUGUUUUCAUCAUCUGAUGACACUGCAAUGAUGAAGCAAAUUCAGGCCACUCAUGCUCCUGAUGGCCGUGAAUUUUCAGUGAAGCCUCUUCUUCAUAUUGUUGAGGACAUUUUCCUCCGUGCCGCUCCUGCCCUAGGCAUGACCAACAUUGUUCAGCAGCAGGUAGAUACAUAACCAGUAAUACUGCCUCUUGCAUGCUAUAUUUUUAUGUGCUUAUUAUACUGGUAUGAUAAUUUAUUCAGCAUUAUUAUUAUGUUUCUAAUCAUCACUGGUGAGUACUUCUAUAUUUUAGGGAGCACAUCAAGCACAACUUGAUGAAUUGGAAGAGAAGGCUCUUCAAAAUGGCUUUCAUGAAACGAUCGAGAUGCUGUCUUACACUAUCAACAAGAUUUCCUGCGAGGUAAGUUUGGACAGAAAAGAUUUGUGGGUUUAUAAGUUCAUGAUGUUUGAAGACACUUUGAAUACGCUGCUUUUUUCCAACAGAUGUCCUGCAAGUGUUCUGGAGGUGGAGAUGCACAUGCAACAACUUUGGCAAUAUUCAACUUGGUAUCAAACUACACGUGGGACGAAAAGUUGGUGCUAGCGUUAGCUGGAUUUGCCGUGAACUAUGGGGAGUUUUGGCUUGUCGCCCAGCUUUACCUUACAAACCCACUAGCUAAAGCGGUUGCACUUCUGAAGCAAUUGCCGGAUAUAAUUGAACGAGCUGACAAUAUGAAGCCCAAGUUUGAGGAACUUACAAGCCUUAUCAAGGUCAUGAUGGAUGUGGCCCAAUGCAUAUUUGAGUUCAAGGAGCUUCCGUCUCAAUACAUCACCCCUGACACUCCAGAAAUGUUAACUGCCACUGCGCAUGUCCCCACUGCUGUUUACUGGACCAUCAGGAGCAUUGUGGCUUGCGCAUCACAAAUUAUGGGCCUUAGUGGCAAGGGUCAUGAGUAUGUGUUUCCUUCUCCAUUAUAAAUUUGCUCCAUUCCCAGCCAAUAUACAUGUUGCUACUCAAUGACUUGCUUAUAUCAAUCAGAAAUAUUUUUGCACCAAAAUAACAUAUAGACAAGCUCAGUCUACUCUGGCCCUGGCUAUAAAAGUACUAGAACGGUUUGCACAUGCAUGCAAAGCAGCCAAGUGGAGUGAAAAGGGUGCUAAAUUUUUCUUUUGCAUCUCACUAUCUGCUCCACAGGUACAUAGCAUCCACAACAGAGGCUUCGGAGCUAUCAAGCGUGGCCCACGAGGUUAAUAACAUUCACAGCCAUCUCAUGAAGCAGCUCACUCUUUGUUUUCAGCACAUAGGUGAGUCCGAGCCCACUCAAACAAGUGCAAUUCAUAUCACGUAGUAUAUUAUAAUAUAUAUUCACCAUUUAAAAAAAUUAUGUUUUGAUGCAAAAUACAUGCUGGAUAGUGAUAGCUAGUGAUCUCUCUGUGGCCCAGAUGAGAAACGACAUAUUGAAGCAUUUCAAACACUUGUGAGCCUGUUCGAAGCUUUCCACAUUGACAACAUGAAGAUUCUAAAGGCUUUGAUUUAUGCCGAGGACGAUCAACUACCACUCUUUGAUGGUUCCACCAAGAAAAGGGUUCGGUUAUUGUUCUGUUCUUUCAGUCCAUUUUAUUCAGAUUAUGCUGUUAGUUAAUUCACUGGAUGAUAGAGACCAGAGAGAUUGUUGAGUAAAAACCGCAUGCGGUCUAGCUUGAAAUCUUACCACAUAGUAGUUAUGCAGAUAUCAAUCAUACUUCCUGACGAGAAUAUUUGUUAAUGAUCCUCCUAUAUGAAUAUACAAGGAUAAAACAGACUUCCCACUGUUGAUUACAGGCAAGCCUUGAUGUGUUGAGAAGGAGGAGUGUGUUGCUGCUGAUUUCGGACCUCCUAAUCUCCCACGAAGAGCUUUCAAUGCUGCAACAAAUGUACAGUGAGGCGCGGGAGGAACCAGGAAGACCAGAGAGCCAGUAUGAGGUUGUAUGGCUCCCAGUUGUGGACAGAUCAUCCCCGUGGAGUGAAACAAAGGAAAAGCUGUUUGAGGAUUUUCAAAGGAUUAUGCCAUGGUACUCUGUCCAUCACCCUUCAUUGCUAGAUGUUGCAGUCAUCAGGUACAUCAAAGAGGUGUGGCACUUCAACAAGAGGCCCUUGCUUGUGGUUUUGGAUCCACAAGGGAGAGUAGUCAACCCCAAUGCAAUCCACAUGAUGUGGAUUUGGGGAAGCCUGGCUUUCCCUUUCACCAGCUUAAAAGAGGAAGCACUCUGGAAAGAAGAAACCUGGAAAAUCGAGCUAUUGGCAGAUAGCAUUGAUCCAAUGAUCUUGUCUUGGGUAUAGCUUUGCUCUCUUGCAUGCAUAAUCAAACUAAAAUGCAGUCUUUAUCUCAACAUUCUAUCGACAUCAUCUACUACUUGCAAUUUCUCAGCAGAGGGAUUCAAAUUCCCCAACUUGAAACUGAUUCAUAAACUAGACAACAACCCGACUGGUGAACAUGAAUUUCAUACGCGCAUUAUUCAUGAAUUUUACACAACUAAUUAAUUGUUAUUGCAGAUAGAUCAAGGGAAGUACAUAUGCUUGUAUGGUGGGGAGGACAUUGAGUGGAUCCGUAAAUUCACCGUUACUGCAAAAGAUGUUGCGAGCAGGGCCGGUAUAACGUUAGAAAUGCUCUAUGUAGGGACGAGCAACCCCAGGGAGAAAGUUAGGAAAAAUAACUCUAUUAUUACGACCGAGAAACUUAGCCAUGUAUUGCCAGACCUCACUUAAUUUGAUCUGGUUCUUUUGGGUGAGGCUGGAGAGCAUGUGGCAUUCCAAGGUGCAACACAAGAGGACUGUAGAGAAUGAUGCCAUCAUGCAGGAGAUAAUGACAAUGCUCAGCUUCGAUGGAAGUGAUCAAGGAUGGGCUGUGAUCAGCAGGGGACCUGCUGAUAUGGCCAAGGCAAAGGGAGAAACCAUAUUGAAAUCUUUUGUUGACUUUGAGAUAUGGAGGGACGGUGCACAGGAAAAGGGUUUUCUGCCUGCACUGAUUGAUCACCUCCAUGAACUCCAUACCCCAUUCCACGGCAACC
rnacentral:lncRNA from 1 species